rnacentral:lncRNA from 1 species
AAAGAUCCGUAAUAAGUUUACAAAGAAGUUUGGGACGAAAAUGUUGAGUUAACAUCAUUCUAUUAGUUAUAUUCAACUAGGAUCCAAUGGAGGGAAAGUAUGGUGUCACCGGUCACGAUACUUCCAGCUUCAUUCUCGUAUAUUUAAGUUGUAGUUAAAAAGCUCGUAGUUAGACUUUGGGUUGGGUCGGCCGAUUCACCUUUAAAUGUGCACUAGUUUACUCGUCCCAUCGGUCUGCGAUGCGCUCCUACCCUAGAUUUGGCAGGUCGUGCCUCCGGUGUUGUUAUCUUGAAGAAAUUAGAGUGCUUAAAGCAAGCUUGUCACUCUGUAUACAUGAGUAUAGGAUAACCUCAUUGGAUUUUGGUCCUAUUACGUUGGCCUUUGGGAUAGGAGUAAUGAUUACCAAGGACAGUCAGGAACAUUUGUAUUCUAUAGUCAGAGGUGGAAUUCUUCAAUUUAUGAAAUACGAACAACUGUGAAAGUAUUUACCAAUGAUGUUUUUUUUAUUAACAUAGAAUGAAAGUUGGGGGGGGGGGGGAUCGAAGAUGAACAAACCCCAUCCUUAUCUCAACCAUAAACGAUGAUGACUAAGAAUUGGUGGAUGUUACUUUUAGUACUCCUCGGCACCUUAUGAGAAAUCAAAGUUUUUGAAAGACUAAGAUGAGCUCUUUCUUGAGUCCAUGGGUGGUGGGGCAUAGUCAUUCUUAGUUGGUGGAGAGAUUUGUUUGGUUAAAUUCGUUAAUGAAUGAGACCUUAGCAUGCUAACUAGCCAUGUGAAGGUGUCCCUCCAUGGCCGGCUUCUUAUGGGACUAGAGGUGUUUUAUACCACAGAGGUUUGAGGCAAUAAUUUUUCUGUGAUGCCUUUAGAUGUUAUGGGACGCAUGUGCGCUUGAUAUAAACAAAAGUGCACCUAUUUUUAUAUCAAUUUACACCCACUUUUUGUUAAGUUUUGUUAAAGAAAUUAUUAAAAUAGGCUUCUUUUUUGUUUAUUUUUUAUUUUCAGGAGAAGACGAAACCAAGUUGAACAAAAGAAGCAAAAACGAGCAAAAGUCUGAAGAAAUAAAGAUAAGUUGUACAUACGCGCCCCAUGUCUUGGAUCCAAAAACUGUUAGCACCUCUAGAAGAUCAUAGAGCGAAGCCCAAACACACCAUGUGCCCUGAGGGCACGUCCCGUGUCUUGGCUCUAAACGACAAGGGUUGACUUUUGGAAAAUUUGGAAGAUCCGAGGGACCUACAAGAGUUGACCACAGGCUGUUUCUGGCAUACACUGCUUGUGCCUCGCUAACUGGCUAUAACAGGUCAUAUGGCCAUACAUGGAGCAUGCUUGGAAGGCACGCCCCGUGUCUGGGCCUCCAACAGCCUAUACAUACAAGGCCAGUUUAACCAUAUUCACUUGCUCCUUUAUUCAUCUCUUCGCCACUACCAUAUUUCUAUUCUACCCACUAUCUCUAAUCAUUGUAAUCACUAAGAAAAAAACACAAAAUCAUGGUGUAUUCAAAAUUUUGAUAAUUAAUAUAAUCUUUUCAUGUUUGAUGAAAACUAGUUCCAUGGCCAUUCUUGGCUAAGUUUCUUGAUGGUGUUUUGGGGGAAACUUGCCCCCUUAAUGGGGAGUUAACUAAGGUAAACAAUGGGUGAAUAAGAUGUGUAUGUUUGUGUGUAUGUGUUAAUGGCUUUGAUUAAUUAAUAUAUAGUUUAUUGAAAGUGAGGAAGUAUUAGUGUCGCCAUUAACUUGGGUCAUUAGUCUUUCGGCUUAACUCUUAAAAUCUUCCAAUUAUUUUGCAUCGCCAUUAGCUUGGGUCGUUCAUGUUUUCUAUGUCUAUGUAGAGUCAAAAUAUGUUGAUGCUCUGUAAGGAGGUUAAAUGCUUUGGAAUGGGACUUGGGGUUGGUAAGCUCUUCCCAUUACGUGGCGUUGGUACCAAAGCGUAAAGGACUUAGUUUUUAUAAAAGUAACUACUUUAGAGGAAUUGACAACUCACCAAAGGAAUCAUAGUGACAAUUAAUUUAAACCCCUUAAAAUAUUUAAUUAACUAAAACUAAAUCAUAGUGGUAUAUACUUUCCACGCUGAUUGGGCGGUACCAUUAUAGUUUGAUCCGGCCUUGAGUGGUCUCUCUUUGCGGAUUCAAAACGAUAUGGUCGAGUGUGUUGGGAUCUCGACCCAGGUAUUACACAACUUUAUGCAUUAAAACAAAUAGUUUCUCGUUUGACAAUCGAGCCCUCUUAACCCAUGGUAAGAUUUAGUUAAAAAGAGCAUCAAUAGUUAAGUUGAUCUAAACACCCCUUUUUCUUUUCAUUGACUAACCUCUUCAUUUUUAUUUUAAGCCAUUUUUAACCUUUUACUUUUGAUUGAUUUGAUUAGACGCUAACGAAGACUUGGUACUAAAACUCGCUGUAUUCUUGGACGACCUCAGUAUCUUACCAUCAAUAUAUUACGCAAACGAUGGGUGCACUUUCCCAACAUGAAGUGUAGUAUAACAUUAUUUUAUCGUGUUUUUAUAAAUAUUAAAACUUGAACUAGUGCAUAAAACGGCUAAAAAUAUACCAUCUUUUACGUGCACACCACACCACGUCAAGGCUACACUGAUGUAUUCAACGAUUAUAUAGCCUCGGCCGAUAGGCCCAGGAAAUCUUCGAAAUUUCAUCGUGAUGAGGAUAGAUCAUUGUAAUGAUUGGUCUAAAACGAUAAAUUCCUUAUAAGCCAGAGUAAUCAGCUAGCAUUGACUACAUCCCUACCCAUUGUACACACUGCCUCGCUAACGAUUGAAUAGUCCGAUGAAGUGUUAAGAUCAUGGAGAUGUGGGCGGUUCGCUCCUAGGACUUCAUUAGAAUUCCACUAAACAUUAUCAUUUAGAGGAAGAAGAAGUCGUAACAAGGUUUCCAUAGGUGAACCUACGGAAAGAUCAUUG